CCCACUUUUCUUUGUGUGUGUGCGUGCCACGUGUGCAUGCCUGACCUCACGAGCAUCUCCGGCUCUCUAUGGGAGGAAAACGGUUUCCACACUGGGGUGGUAAACAAUUCCCUGCUGAGUGAUAAACAAACCUCGAGGCUAGACGGACCUCUGGGAGUUGCAGCUGCCACAGUUAAAAGAAGAAGCCUAAACUCUUAGAGAGAUGAAGAACCUUUAAAGGAGGUGGAGAGCAAAGCCUUGAAGUUUUUCCCCAGUUUCACCAUUUGUACUAAAGAUGGCUGAAAAGAAGUCACUAAGAGAGAAAGAUAGCUACAGGCGACAGAACAUGGAGAAGAGCUAUUCAAAGCAAUGAUCUUCAAACACCUUUUCUCAGAAAGAAAUAACAAAGCCCUAAGUCAAAUAUUAUUUCAAUGGCAACCACCAU
ensembl:lncRNA